rnacentral:rRNA from 1 species
CAGGCUGUCUGGUAAGUCAGAGGUGAAAGUCGGUUGCUUAACGAUCGAAUUGCCUUUGAAACUGUCAGACUUGAGUAUGGAUNCGGUAGNCGGAAUGUGUAGUGUANCGGUGAAAUGCAUAGAUAUUACACAGAACACCGAUUGCGAAAGCAGCUUACCAAACCAGCACUGACGCUGAAGCACGAAAGCGUGGGUAGCGAACAGGAUUAGAUACCCUGGUAGUCCACGCAGUAAACGAUGCUCACUCGCUGUUGGCAAUAGAUCGUCAGCGGCUAAGGGAAACCGAUAAGUGAGCCACCUGGGGAGUACGAUCGCAAGAUUGAAACUCAAAGGAAUUGACGGGGGCCCGCACAAGCGGUGGAACAUGUGGUUUAAUUCGAUGAUACGCGAGGAACCUUACCUGGGCUUAAAUGUACGAUGCAUAGGUGUGAAAGCACUUUUUCCUUCGGGACUUUGUACAAGGUGCUGCAUGGUUGUCGUCAGCUCGUGCCGUGAGGUGUCGGGUUAAGUCCCAUAACGAGCGCAACCCCUAUUGUUAGUUACCAGCGCGUAAAGGCGGGGACUCUAGCGAAACUGCCGGUGUAAACCGCGAGGAAGGUGGGGAUGACGUCAAAUCAGCACGGCCCUUAUGUCCAGGGCUACACACGUGUUACAAUGGCCGGUACAGCGGGCAGCGAGGCAGCGAUGCCGAGCGAAUCUCGAAAGCCGGUCCCAGUUCGGAUUGGAG